rnacentral:rRNA from 1 species
GACGAACGCUGGCGGCGUGCCUAAUACAUGCAAGUUGAGCGCUGAAGGUUGGUACUUGUACCAACUGGAUGAGCAGCGAACGGGUGAGUAACGCGUGGGGAAUCUGCCUUUGAGCGGGGGACAACAUUUGGAAACGAAUGCUAAUACCGCAUAAAAACUUUAAACACAAGUUUUAAGUUUGAAAGAUGCAAUUGCAUCACUCAAAGAUGAUCCCGCGUUGUAUUAGCUAGUUGGUGAGGUAAAGGCUCACCAAGGCGAUGAUACAUAGCCGACCUGAGAGGGAGAUCGGCCAAAAUGGGACUGGGAAACGGCCCAAACUCCUACGGGAGGCAGCAGGAGGGAAUUUUCGGCCAAGGACGAAAGUCUGACCGAGCAACGCCGCGUGAGGGAAGAAGGGUUUUGGAUCGUAAAACUCUGUUGGUAGAGAAGAACGUUGGUGAGAGUGGAAAGCUCAUCAAGUGACGGUAACUACCCAGAAAGGGACGGCUAACUACGUG